rnacentral:sRNA from 1 species
GUUGCUAAGACGUGGGUCGCCGGAGGUGGUUGGAGUUAGUUUUGGCAGCCCGGGCCUGAGAGAGGUCAAGGGUCAUUGCAGAGCCAGGGAGGAGAUGGUGAAGCAGACUAUCCAGAUAUUCGCGAGGGUGAAGCCCCCUGUCCGGAAGCACCAACAAGGGAUUUAUUCCAUAGAUGAAGAUGAAAAAUUAAUACCUAGCUUGGAAAUUAUCUUACCACGUGAUUUGGCAGAUGGGUUUGUGAAUAAUAAGCGAGAAAGCUACAAAUUUAAAGACUAGGUUUUACCAUGUUGCCCAGGCUGGUCUUGAACUCCUGGGCUCAAGCGAUCUGACCCUCCUUGGCCUCCCAAAGUGCUGGGAUUACAGGUGUGAGCCACCGCUCCUGGCUCCUGCUUUGCUUUUUCUGAAGAGAACAUUCUCCCACUGAUAUUUCAAAGAAUUUUUGAUCAGGAUGCAAACCAAGAGACCAUUUUUGAAAACAUUGCCAAACCAGUUGCUGGGAGUGUCCUGGCAGGUUACAAUGGUACCAUCUUUGCAUAUGGGCAAACAGGCAGCGGGAAGACAUUCACUAUCACAGGGGGUG